rnacentral:lncRNA from 1 species
UUUUGUUUUUAGCUUUAGUUAUUUUUUUCUUACUUUAGACAACUUUAUGGAUGAAAUGAGGGGGAUGGUGUCUGGUGGAAGUAUAGCUGCAUCUUCUGUUUCGAAUGAAAAUGGUGAGGUUAUGCUAAUUUUUUUUUGAAAUAAUUGCAAAUGUAUAAUUUUUAUUAUA